GAUGAACGCUGGCGGCGUGCCUAAUACAUGCAAGUCGAGCGAACGGACGAGAAGCUUGCUUCUCUGAUGUUAGCGGCGGACGGGUGAGUAGCACGUGGAUAACCUACCUAUAAGACUGGGGUAACUUCGGGAAACCGUAGCUAAUACCGGAUAAUAUUUUGAACCGCAUGGUUCAAAAGUGAAAGACGGUCUUGCUGUCACUUAUAGAUGGAUCCGCGCUGCAUUAGCUAGUUGGUAAGGUAACGGCUUACCAAGGCAACGAUGCAUAGCCGACCUGAGAGGGUGAUCGGCCACACUGGAACUGAGACACGGUCCAGACUCCUACGGGAGGCAGCAGUAGGGAAUCUUCCGCAAUGGGCGAAAGCCUGACGGAGCAACGCCGCGUGAGUGAUGAAGGUCUUCGGAUCGUAAAACUCUGUUAUUAGGGAAGAACAUAUGUGUAAGUAACUGUGCACAUCUUGACGGUACCUAAUCAGAAAGCCACGGCUAACUACGUG
rnacentral:rRNA from 1 species